rnacentral:rRNA from 1 species
UACGUAGGUGGCAAGCGUUAAUCGGAAUUACUGGGCGUAAAGGGUGCGCAGGCGGUUUUGCAAGUCAGGCGUGAAAGCCCCGGGCUUAACCUGGGAAUGGCGCUUGAAACUACAGGACUGGAGUAUGGCAGAGGGAGGUGGAAUUCCACGUGUAGCGGUGAAAUGCGUAGAGAUGUGGAGGAACACCGAUGGCGAAGGCAGCCUCCUGGGCCAAUACUGACGCUCAUGCACGAAAGCGUGGGGAGCAAACAGG